UCCUCAACAGCUAGCCCGCCCCACCAAAUACAACGAACCCCAUUGAUACCCCCAAAUAC
rnacentral:rRNA from 1 species